UGUUUAGGCUGGCCACUCAUGUGUCGCGAGUGUUGACAGGGGGCGGGGGAGCACGCUCAUGAACUGUUAGCGCCCGAACCUCCCAACGGCUGCGGAGCGCAUUUGGGCAUAAGAUGAGGUUUGAGUCUGAGUGAUCUGCGUGUAGGCAGGGGCAGCAGCCAUAUCAUUAGAACUAGAUCUGAUGGGUUUGGACAUAAGAUGAGGUUUGAGUCUGAGUGAUCUGCGUGUAGGCAGGGGCAGCAGCCAUAUCAUUAGAACUAGAUCUGAUGGGUUUGGGCAUAAGAUGAGGUUUGAGUCUGAGUGAUCUGCGUGUAGGCAGGGGCAGCAGCCAUAUCAUUAGCUAGAACUAGAUCUGAUGGAUUUGGGCAUAAACGCGAGUGAAGUACCGGACGCGAGAGAGAGAUCAGCACCUGCAGCUCUGCCUGCUGUGAGGGACCGGUGAGCGGAGCAAAACACACCUUUAGACGUCACCUAACACAUUUAGCUAUGGCACUGUCGUAUACAUUGAAUUAUUCAAUUUGAUGAUAUGUAAUCAAUUUAGGCAUCCCUCCCAAAAAAA